rnacentral:rRNA from 1 species
UACCAGUCGUGCAUCUUCCGAUCACGAUCCAGUGAGGGAAUUAAGGACGGCACGUUGUCCUUGUAACGGGGAUCCAGCAGGGUGGCCACCCAGUAAUCAGCACAAGUUAGAAUGUGGGCAACUCGGCAGUCGUUGCGCAGGCACUUUGGUGACUCUAGAUAACCUCAGGCCGAUCACACAUCCCCGUGAUGGUGACGAAGCAUUCGGAUGUCAGCCCUAUCAACUUUCAAUGGUACUUUCUGCGCCUACCAUGGUGACCACGGGUAACGGGGAAUAAGGGUUCAUUUCCG